GAGUUUGAUCCUGGCUCAGGACGAACGCUGGCGGCGUGCUUAACACAUGCAAGUCGAACGGAAAGGCCCUGCUUUUGUGGGGUGCUCGAGUGGCGAACGGGUGAGUAACACGUGAGUAACCUGCCCUUGACUUUGGGAUAACUUCAGGAAACUGGGGCUAAUACCGGAUAGGAGCUCCUGCUGCAUGGUGGGGGUUGGAAAGUUUCGGCGGUUGGGGAUGGACUCGCGGCUUAUCAGCUUGUUGGUGGGGUAGUGGCUUACCAAGGCUUUGACGGGUAGCCGGCCUGAGAGGGUGACCGGCCACAUUGGGACUGAGAUACGGCCCAGACUCCUACGGGAGGCAGCAGUGGGGAAUAUUGCACAAUGGGCGGAAGCCUGAUGCAGCAACGCCGCGUGCGGGAUGACGGCCUUCGGGUUGUAAACCGCUUUCGCCUGUGACGAAGCGUGAGUGACGGUAAUGGGUAAAGAAGCACCGGCUAACUACGUGCCAGCAGCCGCGGUGAUACGUAGGGUGCGAGCGUUGUCCGGAUUUAUUGGGCGUAAAGGGCUCGUAGGUGGUUGAUCGCGUCGGAAGUGUAAUCUUGGGGCUUAACCCUGAGCGUGCUUUCGAUACGGGUUGACUUGAGGAAGGUAGGGGAGAAUGGAAUUCCUGGUGGAGCGGUGGAAUGCGCAGAUAUCAGGAGGAACACCAGUGGCGAAGGCGGUUCUCUGGGCCUUUCCUGACGCUGAGGAGCGAAAGCGUGGGGAGCGAACAGGCUUAGAUACCCUGGUAGUCCACGCUGUAAACGGUGGGUACUAGGUGUGGGGUCCAUUCCACGGGUUCCGUGCCGUAGCUAACGCUUUAAGUACCCCGCCUGGGGAGUACGGCCGCAGGGCUAAAACUCAAAGGAAUUGACGG
rnacentral:rRNA from 1 species